rnacentral:rRNA from 1 species
GCGAUUAUACCAGCACUAAUGCACCGGAUCCCAUCAGAACUCCGCAGU